rnacentral:rRNA from 1 species
AACGAACGCUGGCGGCGCGUUUAAGCAUGCAAGUCGAGCGGCAAGGGCCUCGGGCCCCUAGAGCGGCGGACGGGUGAGUAACACGUGGACAACCUGCCUCAUAGAGAGGAAUAGCCUUCCGAAAGGGAGAUUAAUACCUCAUAACAUUGCAGUUUCGCAUGGAACAGCAAUUAAAGGAGCAAUCCGCUAUGAGAUGGGCCCGCGGCGCAUUAGCUAGUUGGUGAGGUAACGGCUCACCAAGGCGACGAUGCGUAGCCGACCUGAGAGGGUGAUCGGCCACAUUGGGACUGAGACACGGCCCAGACUCCUACGGGAGGCAGCAGUGGGGAAUAUUGCACAAUGGGGGAAACCCUGAUGCCAGCAACGCCGCGUGAGUGAUGACGGCCUUCGGGUUGUAAAGCUCUGUCUUCAGGGACGAUAAUGACGGUACCUGAGGAGGAAGCCACGGCUAACUACGUGCCAGCCGCCGC